GCCGGUGGCUAUGGCGAAGGAGAAACACCUGGUCCCAUCCCGAACCCAGCAGUUAAGCCCUUCAGCGCCGAUGGUACUUGGGCGGAGACGCCCUGGGAGAGUAGGUCGCCGCCGGCU
rnacentral:rRNA from 1 species